GGUCCCAAUGGCAUGGCCACGGUGCGUGCCAUGGCUUCUGGAGGUGGUGUCGUUUCUAUUGAUAACAAGUAGGUGACUGGCCUAGAGAUGGAGGUCAUGAUGACUGCAAGGAAGAGACUGGACCCAUACAAUGUACUACCCCCAAAGACAGCUUUAGGCACCAAGGAAGACCCUAAUUUAGUCCCCUCCAUCACCAACAAGAGAAUAGUGG
rnacentral:lncRNA from 1 species